rnacentral:rRNA from 1 species
CCGUAGGGGGCCCUCUUUGUCCUUCUUUCCUGGUUUUCCCUUUCGCUCCUUCUUCCUUUCCCUUCCUUUUCUCCCUCCUCCCUCUUCCCUUUCUCCCUUCCUUUGAUACUUUCAUUCUUGAGUUCGGGAGAGAGAGACGGAAUUCCAGGUGUAGUGGUGAAAUACGUAGAUAUCGGGAGGAACACCAGUGGCGAAAGCGAUUUUCUGGAUCGUUUCUGACGCUCAGACGCGAAAGCUAGGGUAGCAAACGG